rnacentral:lncRNA from 13 species
CCAAGGGUAGGAUCAAGAAAGCUAAUGUGGCUCCUGCCUUCUGAUGUCCUGUGCGUGCUCUGAGCAGGCAGGCACAGGUCUGGCUGGGUCACCUGUGCCCCUCUCUGUCUGUUCGACUGUAGCUCCAGUGUUUAUAAAAUAAGGCUCAGCAUUUACAGUUCUUUCCACUGUGGUCACUCCAGUGUCCUAAAGUGAUCUCUACCCAUUUUCUUGUCCUCUUUUCACCCCAGAGAGGCCUCUCAGCUCCUAAAUGGGCAAGGUAAUGAUGACAGAACCAUCUCAUCCCAUCCAUCCUCUGGAGAAUGUCCAGGGCCUCUUGCUCUGGAAGAGGGCAGCGAAGGCAGACCCCCUUGCAGGCCCAAGCUCUGCCCAUCACUAGUCAUUCUCUGUUGUGGGCUGGAGGGGAGGGGUGUGAGCAGGCCUUGGAAGUAUCUGUCACGCUGCACUCAGCUUGCUGCUGGCGCAGAGAAUCUGUCAUGUCUGUGCUGCACUUCAGCCUUGUCAUUUUACAGAUAAAGUGAUGGAGGCCAGAGAGGGAAAGUGACUUGCCUGAGGUCUCAGAGCUGUCACAGAGUGGCAGAAAUGGCUCAAAAUCCAAGCCUCCUGGGUCUCAGCAUGGAUCUCGCUCUGUCACCCAGGCUGGAGUGGCAUGAUCUCAGUUCAUUGCAACCUCUGCCUUCUGAGUUCAAGUGAUGAUUCUCCUGUCUCAGCCUCCCGAGCAACUGGGGUUACAGAUGCCUGCCACAACAACUGGCUAAUUUUUAUAUUUUUAGUAGAGACGAGGUUUCACCAUGUUGACCAGGCUGGUCUCGAACUCCUGACCUCAGCCCCAGUUCUGCCUUCAGAUGCCUGCAGCUCUGGCCAACUUCCUGACUGUGGCCACAUGAGAGGACUUGAGCCUGAACCAUCCCACCAACAUUCUCUCACAACCUGUGACUCACACAAACUGAGAUGGUAAAC